UCGUUCUCCCCAGUCAAAAGAAUGAUUAUGAACUCGCAAUAGGGGUAUAUAUAGGUGAGGAGCGCAUCAGAAAACAGGCCCAAGUCCAACGAGCCACCGCCGGGCGGUUUAAGUGUGCCGCCCGGCGGUUUGCCACAAAUCGCACUACCGCCUGGCGGUAGGGGUCUACCGCCCGGCGGUUUCCCUCAAAUCGCAAAUCUGCCCAGCGCCAACGCCAGGUGCCUACUCCUCGCCCUGGAUCGCCCGGCGGUUUAAGUGUGCCGCCCAGCGGUGCGUCGACUCUUCAAAUCUUCAUUUUUCUGCUCUUUUCUUGAGUCAACGACCUGUAUCUUAAACUCCAUUCUUUACUUUUCUCAAAUUAGCUACAAAACAAUGCAAAACAAGCAUAAAAUCGCUAAAAACAACUUUUGACUCUCUCCAAACUCAUUUAUUGACUUUUGCUUGAGUCUAAGCUCAUUCCGAGUAGUAAAGGGUGUAAUUUGGUCCAAAUUGACAUUUGAAAAUUUGGUCCAAAUUUCUGAAAAAUCUCUUCAGAUUCUGUGCUCCUUUGUAUUGGCAUAAACUGAGGUUGUUCUGAACUUUCUGGGGCUGUUAUCAUCUCCUGUGAUAAAACAGACAAUUUCUGAAUAAUUGUCUCUAGCUGCUGGGCCAUUAUCAUAGUCUGCUUAAUCAUAGAAUUAUUUUCCUGAAUAUGCGCAACACUUUCAAUUUGUGUUUCUUCAUUGUCUGCCAUACUUUCAAUUAAUUCAUAAGCCUCAUCCUUAGUCUUUUUUUUUUAUAUCCCCUCUAGUUGCGACAUUUAACAUCAUUUUUGAGUGCAUGUUUACUCCUCCAAGGAAUGUAAGAACUAUGGUUGUCUUAUCAAACCCAUGGAUUGGGGUCUUCUUCAAUAGGCUCUUAAACCUCUCCCAUGCUUGCCCGAGGGUUUCUUUCAUGCCUUGCCUGAAUGAUGAAAUUUCCAGCCUUCCCUGUGUAACUUUGGAUUGCAGAAAAAUAUUUCUUGACAAAUUUUUCAGCCACAGUCACCCAGGUAGUGAAUGUUCCUACAGGAAAAGAAUUGAGCCAAGUCUUACGUUGCCUCCAAGUGAGAAUGGAAACAAACUAAGCUUUACUCUUUCAUCCGAAACACUUGACAUCUUCACUGUGUUGCAGAUUUCACCAAACGUUGUCAAAUGAUCAUAUGGGUUUUCAUUUGACAAGCCGUGAAAUUGGUUGCUUUGUACUAGGUGUAUAAGAGCUGGAUUCAUCACCAUGUUAGUAUUUUGGUCCACAGGCAUGGCUAUGCUAUUAAAGUGGAAAGGACCAACAACAUUGGACUGAUCUGAAAGAGUGCGUCUUGGAGGAGGUUGCUCCGCCAUCUCCUCUACUCUUCGAAUUGGUGAAGGUGAAAGUUAUCUGUUAGGAGAAGGAAAUAAAUCCCUAGAAGAACAUCUAACAAUCCUUCUUCCCCUUGUCUCACUCAAGCCUUCAAGAAGGGGUUGUGUACUUUUCUUGAUCCUAGUGUGUCUAGUCUCCUGCUGCAUGCACAAGAAACACAAACCCUAGUAGCACUUUUUUUCUUUAAAAAAAACAAUAUUUAUAAUCAAGUCAAAAUUAAUCAAUUUACACUACUCAAAAAGUUAAACCACGAUUCCCCAGCAACGGCGCCAAAAACUUGUUAAUCCCUUGGCAAGUGUACCAGAUCGUUAUAAAGUAAUAUAAUUGGUAAAUCUAAUAUCGUUCUUCCCAAAAGGACUCAAAGGCCUAAUCUUUCGUGUAACUCAAUUGCUUAAGACUUGAGAAAAGAAUUAAAUUUAAGUGUUGAAUGCAAAGAACAAAAACUANUCUGCUCUUUUCUUGAGUCAACGACCUGUAUCUUAAACUCCAUUCUUUACUUUUCUCAAAUUAGCUACAAAACAAUGCAAAACAAGCAUAAAAUCACUAAAAACAACUUUUGACUCUCUCUAGACUCAAUUAUUGAGUUUUGCUUGAUUCUAAGCUCAUUUUGAGUAGUAAAGGGUGUAAUUUGGUCCAAAUUGACAUAUGAAAAUAACUGUUUCUCAACCUUCAUCAACACCCCAAACUUAGAAUUUUUCUUGUCCUAAAGCAAAACAAAACAAAACAAUCACACAAAAGAAAACUUGGCUUUAUACUGUUUCAUCCAAUGCCUCAACAAUCCCAAGGUACAUGAUAAAACCACUCAAAUCAAUAUUCUCAGUGAAAUCCAAAAUAAGAUGCAUGCAUGCUUUCAACCCAGAGAUUGCACAAUAGAUGUUACUCAUUAUGAAUGAUCAAUCCACUAAGCAAAAAUGUACUCAUGAAAAUUAAUAAUUCAUACCAAGCAAGUGUUUCACUCAAUCACUCAAGUGUUUAAGGUGACACUCCAACUCUCUAUUGUUCACAAGUCACAUGAAACAAAAUUGCCAUUCAUCUCAAACAAUCAACAUCUUUACAUGAAAAUGCCAUCAAAAGGACUUUUCCAAAGCUUGUAAUGAGGUUGGGCUAACAAGAAAGAAUUGGUUUUUCUAGAAUGCAAAAUCCUUGAGUCAAGAGAGUUAUCAAAGUAUUCAACAUUUGAGCACAACUCUCUCACUAAUGUCUCUCAUUCCCAACUUUUCCCUUUUCUUUUUCUUUUGCAUUGAGCUCUUCUUCAUGCUUUUCUUCUUUUCUUUUCUUUUUAUCAUGAAUUUUUCUUUUCACAAUAUUUGAGCUCAAUGCUUUUCACUUGCUUUUUCAAUUUUCCCCCGUACUACCCCAAACUUGAAUCUUUUCAUUUCAUACAAUUAAGCUCAUCCCAACUCAAGGUAAAGAAUUUCAAAACAAAGGUUCACAUCCUGUUUAAGGCUAAGGUUCAAAAAGGGUAUAAUAUUUCAAACACUUUGGG
rnacentral:lncRNA from 1 species